GUAGCAGGCACCGCAAGGUCCCUGUCGUUCAGACAGGCUGUCUCUCGCGACUCGCCAGGCGGGCCGCAAACCGGCCAAGCCGGCCUCAAUAAAAUUCGCCGGGCACAGCACCGGC
rfam:Pseudomonas knackmussii B13 complete genome